UGGGGAAUAUUGGACAAUGGGCGCAAGCCUGAUCCAGCAAUGCCGCGUGAGUGAUGAAGGCCUUAGGGUUGUAAAGCUCUUUCAAUGGGGAAGAUAAUGACGGUACCCAUAGAAGAAGCCCCGGCUAACUCCGUGCCAGCAGCCGCGGUAAUACGGAGGGGGCUAGCGUUAUUCGGAAUUACUGGGCGUAAAGAGCGCGUAGGCGGUUUAUUAAGUUGGAAGUGAAAGCCCAGGGCUUAACCUUGGAACUGCUUUCAAAACUGGUAAGCUAGAGAUUGAUAGGGGAUAGCGGAAUUCCUAGUGUAGAGGUGAAAUUCUUAGAUAUUAGGAGGAACACCGGAGGCGAAGGCGGCUAUCUGGAUCAACACUGACGCUGAGGCGCGAAAGCGUGGGGAGCAAA
rnacentral:rRNA from 1 species